GUCGUAGCGAAAGCGAGUCCGAUAAGGGCGUGAGUCGCGUGUUCUAGACCCGAAGCGGUGUGAUCUAUCCAUGGCCAGGAUGAAGCGUCGGUAAGACGUCGUGGAGGUCCGAACCCACUUCAGUUAAAAAUGGAGGGGAUGAGUUGUGGAUAGGGGUGAAAGGCCAAUCAAACACCGUGAUAGCUGGUUCUCCCCGAAAUGCAUUUAGGUGCAGCGUUGUGUGGUUCGUGUCGGAGGUAGAGCACUGGAUGGUCUAGGGGGCCUAUCAGCUUACCGAAACCAGCCAAACUCCGAAUGCCGGCACGUGGAGCGCAGCAGUGAGACGGCGGGGGAUAAGCUUCGUCGUCGAGAGGGAAACAGCCCAGAUCAUCAGCUAAGGCCCCUAAGUGAUAGCUAAGUGGAAAAGGAUGUGGAGUUGCGUAGACAACCAGGAGGUUGGCUUGGAAGCAGCCAUCCUUGAAAGAGUGCGUAAUAGCUCACUGGUCAAGUGAUUCCGCGCCGAUAAUGUAGCGGGGCUUAAGUUAUCCGCCGAAGCUGUGGCAACCUGUGUGGUUGGGUAGGGGAGCGUCGUGUCAGUGGUGAAGCUGCCGGGUGACUGUGUGGUGGAGUUGAUGCGAGUGAGAAUGCAGGCAUGAGUAGCGUGUGACGGGUGGGAAUCCCGUCCGCCGAUUAUCCAAGGGUUCCAGGGUCAAGUUUGUCUGCCCUGGGUGAGUCGGGUCCUAAGGCGAGGCCGACAGGCGUAGUCGAUGGGUAACCAGUUGAUAUUCUGGUACCGGCUUGUCACCGUCCGUGUCGAGGUGUGUGAUGCUAAGCAUGUGAGCUUGUCUUGGGAGUGUUUUUGAUGCUUCUGGGGUGGGUGAGUGUGUGAACCGAUCAUGUAGUAGGCAAGCUGCGGAGGGACGCAGUGAGGUAGCUCAUCCCCGGUGAUGGUUGUCCGGGGCUAAGUGUGUGGACUGUCUGGUAGGUAAAUCCGCUGGGCGUGAAGGUUGAGGCAUGAUGGGGAGCCCAUGGUUGUGGGUGAGUGAGUGAUCCUGUACUGUCGAGAAAAGCUUCGUGAGCGAGGUGGCGGGUCCGCCCGUACCCUAAACCGACACUGGUGGAUUGGUAGAGUAUACCGAGGCGAUCGAGAGAAUCAUGGUGAAGGAACUCGGCAAAAUGCCCCCGUAACUUUGGAAGAAGGGGGACCUGAGCUGUUGCCGCCACGUGCUGGUGGUUGCGGUGAGGGGCGCAGAGAAUUGGGGGAAGCGACUGUUUACCAAAAACACAGGUCCGUGCGAAGUCGUAAGACGAUGUAUACGGACUGACUCCUGCCCGGUGCUGGAAGGUUAAGGGGGGGAGUUAGCUUCGGCGAAGCUCUGAACUGAAGCCCCAGUAAACGGCGGCCGUAACUAUAACGGUCCUAAGGCAGCG
rnacentral:rRNA from 13 species